AGAAAAAAAGGAACAAUGAGAGAGGCUAGAGAAUCAGUGUAAGCGCUGUGAACUCAGUGACAUGGAUCACAGACACAAUGGUCAUUUGUACCUUUUAAUUAGGAGUUCAAUCUUUUGGCUGAAAGUAACAGAAACACAGCUGUGGUUAGUUUGAGCCCCAAAGGAGGUGCUGGCUCACAUGAGCUGACUGUGGAGACAGCAGAGAGGGAACAACUGGGUCCAUGGACACCCUCGGGACUUGCCCCCUCCCUCCCCUCUUGGGUGUUGGUUCCACUGCAGCUCUCAGGGCUAUGCCGGAGCACAGAGAGCUCCUCCCACCAGCUCCACUACUGACAUAAACCCCUGAGACAUCUUGGCAAACAGCAGCAUACCAUUUUUCAAUUGUCAGAUUUCAAAAAUGUUAAACUCUGAUACUCUCAGCUAUCAGUGAAGGAAUGGGAAAAUGGAGACACUAAUGCUCUGAUACACUGCUGGGGGGUUGUAAAUUGUCCCAGCCAUUUUGGAGGGACAGUUGGCACUGUCUAUUCUGAUUUUGUAUAUAUAUAUAUAUAUGUUUUUUUUAGAAGAUGUUGGGGGUAGGAGUUUAUUAAUUAAUUAAUUUAUUUUUGCUGUGUUGGGUCUUCGUUUCUGUGUGAGGGCUAUCUCUAGUUGUGGCAAGCGGGGGCCACUCUUCAUCGCGGUGCGCGGGCCUCUCACUGUCACGGCCUCUCUUGUUGCAGAGCACAGGCUCCAGACGCGCAGGCUCAGUAGUUGUGGCUCACGGGCCCAGUUGCUCCGCGGCAUGUGGGAUCCUCCCAGACCAGGGCUCGAACCCAUGUCCCCUGCAUUGGCAGGCAGAUUCUCAACCACUGCGCCACCAGGGAAGCCCUGAUUUUAUAUUUUUUUAAUUUAUUUUUUGGCCACGCUGUGUGGCUUGCGGGAUCUUAGUUACCGGACCAGGGAUUGAACUUGUUCCCUCGGCAAUGAAAGUGCAGAGUCCUAACCACUGGAUGGCCACGGAAUUCCCUCUAUUCUGAUUUUAAAUGUGGAUACUAUUGCUCUGAUGAUGCCACUUCUCAAAAUCCUGACCAGUAACUCUCAAACAUGUGCAUAAGGAAAUAUCGGCAAGGGUUAUUUGGAAUGUUAUUUGUAGCACAAAAUUAGGAAUAACUUAAAUGUCCAUCUUUAAACCAUGGUACAUUUUAUACUCUGAAAAUAUGGAAACUGUUAAAAAGAAUGAAAUAUGUACUGACAUAAGCCCCUAAGAUAUCUUGGUAAAUGAAAAAAGUAAUUUGCAGAAUGACACAUAAUAUGGUGUAACUUAAGCAUAACCAAAAACAAAACAUUGAAGUAAUGAUAGAUAUACCUGUGGGUAUGUUUACAACAUAUAUUUCUAAUUGUAUCCAAAUGCAUAGAAAAAGUUCUGGUGAGAGACUAAGAUUAGGGGUGGAGAUCGUAGGAGACUGUCAGAUUUGAAUUUUUUCAAUGAUAACACAUUUAUGUAUAAUUUAUGUAUUUAAACUUAAUUUUUAAAACUUAAAAAGAAAAAGCUAUGGAAGCAUUCUAAUUGGUUCAACUUGGGUCAUGUGACUAUCCCUAGACCAAUGGACUGUGGUCAAGGCACCCCUAGGGUUUUACAACUGGCCCCACGUGGGUUAUACAUUCAGCCCUGUGAACAGGGGAGCAACACACUUGAUUGGCAGCUCUUUCCAUAAUUACAUGUUGGAGUGGUGAAAGAGCUGUUCCCCCAAAAAAGGGAGGUGCUGUUCUAGGCAGACAAAAUGGUAAGUCCCUAUAGUGAAAGCUUUUGAGCCAGCAUUGUCAUUGUGGGUUUAUGUAGGUGUUAUCCAAGGCUGAAAAAAUUUGUCCAAUAUAUUUCUAUUACGAUAUAGGAUAAGGAUUUGUUCUGCUCACUGCUAUAUACCCAGAACCCGUGGAAGUUCUGGGUAUAUAGUAGGCACUCGGUAUAAUAAUAGAUGUUGGUUGAAUGGAGACAACACUACACUACAAUAGUCUAUGAUUAAUAGUAAUCUACAAAUGGAUCGCUGCAAAGGCAACUCCUCCCAAUGCUCUCAGCAAGGGCAGAGGGAGAAAGGAAGAGGAAGACAAACCACCAGCUCAGGACUCCUCCUCCCAAGGCCAGGGAGUUGCCAUGACAAAGGCUGGGACAGUUUGACAAUGACCUGGACUAGAUGUGGGAGCCCCAGGCCUGACCCCAGCCCCUGUCACCCCCUCUACAAGAGAACUUGAUCCUGCUGGGUCCUGCACACACCCCACCUCCCUACUUCCUAUGGGCUGAGGUCUUCCCUGGAAGGGCCCAACCAGCUGGAACCUUUCUUCCCGGGCCGGCCCUCCCAAGAGCAUGAUGGUGGGAUGAGCUUCCUUUAGCCAGGUCCAGAGCGUGCCUGUCCAGGACCUCUGUGUCCCGGACCAUGCAGUUAUCCUGUUCAUGAUCUCCGCUGCCAUGCACACACCCCAGCCCCUAUGCCUCCUUUGCUGUUGAGUUCCCAGAAUGCCUCUCACUUGAGCAUGCUUUCUGAAUGGAGAAAUAGGGGGAAAAUAAUAUUGUCUUAAGACAGAGCAUUGAAUAUUAUAAUAUUAUACAAACAUAUACAUAAAUAUAUAAUAUACUGAUACUAUAAUAUUAUAAUGUAUAUAGCAUCCAUAUUUCUAUAUAGUUUAUUUUUGGGGGUUGAGACUUCAUUGUAGAUAUACAAUUUUGUAUCUCUCUCUCUCUCUCUCUCUCUUUUUUUUUUUCACAUAACACCAAAUCACAAGCAUUUUUCCAGGUCAUAAAAAACUUGUGAAGGCAUUUUAAUUAAGGCCAGGAGAGGCCAGUGUAGAAACCAGUGUAUAUUUCUAGGCAAUGGAGUGGAGGGAGGAAACACAACGAUGCUGCAGGGUGAAGGAGUUCAGCCAAGAGUCCAAGUGGGGCCGUGAGGGAGGGUGCUGAGGCGGCAGGGCUGGAGGUAUCCUGGUCGAGGGGACAGAUUGCCCCCUGCUUUACUUUCACUCCUGCUCCAGUGACCCUCAAGAGACCAGGCAGUGAGCCUGUCUUUAGGUUCGAUGGAUUUUCUGGUUGGAGAAACUUGAGAAUUUUAAUUGUGGCAACCAAACCGAUUUACUUGCAGAAUGCUGGGCUGAGUCUGGUUUGCCUGAGUCUUCCGUAAGAAACCAAGAGGAGCUAGAGGUGUGCAUGUCUGGUGGAGACGAGAAACCCAAGCCAGGCUGUUGACAAUUGGAAAAGUUCAUGUAAAAAUCCAGACUUCUGAUUUUUCUUGACAAAUGAAAAGAUCUGGCAACCCUGAGCCUGCGUUCUGUGUGGCAGCCAUGGUAAGUCAGGAAACUUUAUUGUUGAAGUUCUCUUCACUCCUUCUAUUACCUGCCUAUUCCCCAAGGGCACCUGUGAUCUCUUUCAGGCUUCACCAUCACCUUGUGAGGCCAGAGACAUUAACCCCACUUUAUACGUGAAGAAAGCAAGGGGAGAGGUCAAUAACCUUGCCGAAGGUCCUGGCCAGGGAGAGGCAGAGCUGGGCUUCUCACCCAGGUAAUCUGCUUCCCGGUCCAUGCUCUCUGCAUUCCCUUCAACUUUUUCCUGGUCAGAGAGCUGGUACUCCCAGCAGCAGCUGGAUGGACUGCAGAUGCAGACAGCAAAUGAAAACCCUCUGGCUGCCCAGGUCUGGGGUUUCGUAGGCCUCAGCAGAGUCCUAAGCUGGGCGAACCAGCUCUCAGCGGAGGCUCUGGAGAGGCAAUUCUUUACCCAUGCAUGGAGCCGGAAGUGAUUGGUCAAUGGUCUCACCACCACUCAGGCAGGCGAGAGGACCUGGGCACCUCUGGUCAGUCUAGGUGGUGUCUCCCUUCCUGGCUUCUCUCCCCUUCGCUGGAAGCAGGCUCCCUCUGGCAGCAUCUUGCUCCAUUUGGCCUUUCUGCCACACGUGGUGCAAACUGGUGGUGCAAACGGGCCAAAACCAUCGCAGUCUGCAAAUCACAGCACAGUCCAGACCAGUCAGGCUUGCUCGAGCAAAGCACUCUUUCUGGUCAGUGGUACGUUCUCCUCCUGGAGAGGCUGGCUGACCCUUUUCCUGGAAGGGCUUGUCCAGUAUUCUCCAGCAGUUUCUAGGAAUGAAUGGAGGAGCAGUGCCUGAAGAUUACAGGGUUCCAAAGGAAGCAGGGUAACUACUUUAUAAAAAUAGCUCAGCUGUGUGUGGCACCUUACGGUUUAUAAAUCCUUUCACAUCCAUUAUUAUGUGUAUUAUUUGGUUCUCAAAACUUGAUGAGCCAGAUAGAGCAGUAAUUGGCAAAUAUAGAUCAUCUAGGAAAGGGCACGGAAUUCUGAGUUCCAUUCUCAAUCCUGCCACUUACCUUGAGCAAGUUCACGCCCUCUCUUUUAGCUUUUAUUUCCUCAUUCACUAAAAAAGAUAACAAAUUUUUUUAUAAUGGGUGAACUAUGGGGGUUUUUUUAGUUUAAAUAAAUUUAAUUUAAAAAGAUAAUAAUCUCUCCCAGCAAGGCUACUCUGCUUUAUAACUCCAGGGGGUGCUAUUUACAUGGAAUACCAUGUGAUGAGUCCCCUUGAAAUUGUGCCACAGGUGGAACUCCUCAUAUGCAUGUCAUGAGGAUUAAAUGACAUAAUUUAUGUGCUAGCACACGGUCUGGGAGAUAGUAGGUGAUUAACAAAUGCUUGCCAAGUGAAUGAACUGCUCACUCAGUCACGAUGGAUUUUGAGAGGCGCUCACAGGAAGAAGGAAGUAGUACUGGCUCCCUGUGGCUGGUGUUGAAUUUCCUGCCCAUUCUUCUGUGACUCUUGCCAAUUUGCCCCGUGUCCUAGGCCUCUGGGCUCCCAGCCGGCUGGAGGCACAGACUUAUCUGUGGGGACUGGAGAGUUGGGCCUGGGCUGGGUAAUGACCAGCCUUCCGCUCACUUGAAGUUUCCGCUGGGGGGCUGGAAGCCACAGCAUCCAGAUGGCUAAUUGCUUUGUGCCUGUUUCUGCAAAUCACAGUGAUUCACUGUCCCUGCUGAAAACACGCUCUCUUUUCAAAGAUUUAAUGGUUUCCAAAAUUAAUUUAGCCUCAUCUGUUAUGCCCCUGCCCUUCUGCACUGUCCCCUUCCCCCCCAGCAUCCUCCCCUGUCCCAGGACGGAGCUUUCUGCUCCAGAAAGCCGGCUUUCACUCUGCUAGGCAUAGUGGAGAAGGUUGGGGAGCACAGACCCCUUUCCAGGGUCACCUGAGCACACACUCAGUGUGGACUUUUUGGGAAGAAGCCUAGGAGGGAAGGGCUGAUGUCAGGGACACACUUAUCUCUCACCAUCCUACAUGGUUUUGGCCACCCAACCCACUGACACUCCUAGACAAAGAACUCCAAGGAGCUCCCGUUUGCACUGCUUUGCUUAUAAAACUCCUAAAGAUCAUCUGUUUUUUACAUGUGAGGGACAUGGUCAGCUUUGUUUGUUUUAGACAGCUCAUUAUGGGUCCAUGAGACCUUGGGACCAGAUCCCUGGCUAAGAGGCCAGAUUUUAAGGAGUUUACCUCCAUCCGAUUCUGUAUUGUUUCUUGACUAUCUUUAGGCUUCUGUUCUUCCCCAGUAACAUAAAGGUGAUAUAAUCCCUACCUCUGCCCACUGUUCAUUUAUUUAAUAAAUAGCUACUGAGUCUCUCUGUAUAUCAGGCAUGUGCUAGGGAUUGAGGGUACAGUAGCAAAAAAGCUCCACAAUCCUGGCCCUUCCAGAACUCAACUUGCAGUCUAGAGUGGAGAAAGAAAAGGCCCGUGGCCAGCAGGCUGAUAUAUUCUCUGUGAGGGAACAUCAGGGGCUAAGGGAGCACCCCAUCUCCUGGAGCCAGGAAAGGCUCCCUGGAGGAGGUCAUGCCUGAACUGAGUCCUAAGUGAUUAGAAGGUGUUAUCUUUUUUUUUUUUUUUUUGCGGUACGCGGGCCUCUCACUGUUGUGGCCUCUCCCGUUGUGGAGCACAGGCUCGGGACGCGCAGGCUCAGCGGCCAUGGCUUACGGGCCCAGCCGCUCCGCGGCAUGUGGGAUCUUCCCGGACCCAGGCAUGAACCCGUGUCCCCUGCAUUGGCAGGCAGACUCUCAACCACUGCGCCACCAGGGAAGCCCUAGAAGGUGUUAUCUUGAAGAAGAAGAAAAAGAAAGAGGAGGAGGGGAAGAGGAAAGAUGAGCAGUGUCCAGGUAGAGGAAAUAGCAUAUGCAAAAGCCCAGGGCAGGAGAACGGUUCAUACUGAGGAUCUGCAAACCAGUGCAGCAUGACUGGCAGAAAGACAGAGCAGGAGCGGUGAGAAGGGCAGCUGGAGACAAACACGGAACUAGAGCAGCAAAGGCCUUUUAGCACCUAAUGGAAUCACUGUGGUGUUUUAAGCAUGGUCCAAUGUGUGCUCUGGAGAAAUCACUCUGGCUGCGGUGUGGAGAAUGGAUUGGAUGGGGUAAGACUGGAGGUAGGAAGGUCAGGUAUGCAAUGGCUGCAUCUCAAAAGCAUUCUGAGACCCUGGGUGAGAUACUGCUAACCAUUUUUUUUUUGUGGUACGCGGGCCUCUCACUGUUGUGGCCUCUCCCCUUGCGGAGCACAGGCUCCAGACGCACAGGCUCAGCGACCAUGGCCCACGGGCCCAGCCGCUCCGCGGCACAUGGGAUCCUCCUGGACCGGGGCACGAACCCACGUCCCCUGCAUCGGCAGGCGGACUCUCAACCACUGCGCCACCAAGGAAGCCCUCUUUCUAUUAUUAACAUCUUACAUUAGUAUGGCACAUUUGUCACGAUUAAUGGACCAAUAUUGGUACACCAUUAUUAGUUAAGUCCAAUCUUUAUUCAGUUUUCCUCAGUUUUUUUCAUUUCCUUUUUCUGUUUCAGGAUCACAUCCAAGAUACUACGUUAUCUAGUUGUCAUGCUUCUUUAGGCUCCUCUUGACUGUGAUAGUUUCUCAAAAUUUCCUUGUUUUUGAUGACUUCAGUAGUGUGGGGGAGUACUGGCCAGUUAUUUUGUAGACUGACCUUCAGCUGGGAUUUGUCUGAUGUUUUUCUCACGAUCUGACUUGGAGUAUGGAUUUUUGGGGGAGGAAGACCACAGAGGUGAAGCACUGUUCUCAUCACAUCAUAUCAAGAAUUUAGGGAUAGGUACAUGAUCCAAGCUGCGCCAAUGAGAGUUGGCUCUGGGACUAUUGCUAGAACUGUUGGAAAAGAAGCGUGUUCUCUUUCCAUUGGGAUUAUACAGUAAGUGUGAAUGGAUGGUCAAUAUAUCUAGUUAGUUGUUUGCUUAUUUAUUUGUUUAUAUGCAUAGAAGAAGAUCUGAAGACAGUAUCCCAAAAUGUUAACAUCAAUUAAUUUUUGGUGAUAGGGUAAUUGGUGAUAUUUAUGGUUUUUACACAUGUAUGUAUUAUUUAUAUUUUCUAUAAAGUCGUAUAUUACAUUUAUAUUAACAUAGAUUUUUCCUGUUAUAAAUUCUUAUUUUUAAUUAUUUUAUAAUAUACUUAUGUUACAAAACAUAAGUACAUAGAAAUAUGUUUAUAAUAUAUUGUUAUCUAAAUAAUAGAUUAGUGUAAUUUUCACACUAAUAUAAGACAGAAGUCCUUUACCCCCUAAGGUCCAUUUAUUCUUUCCCUUGGUUACUGACUCAAACCCAGUUCCCUACGCCUGGUAGGACAUGCAUCCUUAAUCGCAGGACGAUCCUGUGUCCUAGAACAACUUUUUUCAAAAUAAAGGUUUUUACCUUUUCAAAGUAAAGUAUUUAUGAAAAAGGUAUUUUUCAAAAUAAAAUACAAUAUUUAGGAACUGAGAGGUUCUAUUGGUUUUGUCCACAUCCCAUCAGACGCUAGACCUCGUCAAAGAACAGGCUGUGUUCUCGGCCGGCAGUGGCAGGAGGACCAGGGAUAGAGGGACCAGUUUUGUAGUCAUUUUAGAAGGAGCUCAGUAGGUUUUUUCCAUAGCCCUGCCAGAGAGCGGAACAGCUCCCACCCCACAAUGGAAGAGAAACAGCUCCAGUGGCAGCCCCAUUCUUCCUGGGUUCCCUCCUUCAGUGUUUACGAGAACUCCUGGGAAUUCUCCACAGACUGGGCUGCCCUCCCUGCCAGUCGCCCGCUCAAUCCUGCGCUCUCCCACUGUGGACACAGGCCCCACCCUCAACUCCCCAAAGCACAGCCAAGGCCAGGCUGCAGCAUUAACAAAACUCCCCAUAACCCCUGAAGAGAUGCCACUCAUUCCAAAAGAAAACCACCUUUUAUAAUAACGACACAGAGCCUGUAGUUUCACAUUGUUCUGAAUUGCAUUGUCUCUUUUCCAGAACAGGUUUAAGUUUUAUCCCUGCGUAACGCGAAGUCCUAUUAAAAUAUUUUCCUAAAAACAAAAGGGAUUAUUCCCACAAGAGCAAUUUACUUCCACCUCCACAAAAGAUAGAGGAACUGGGAUUAAAAACCCAAACCCACACAGUAUAGCAUAGCAAUUUGUCCUCUUUUCACACCAUUGCAGUUUUCAAAAACAGGAGAGACCACUUUCUACACAUUUUCGUUUCUACCUAUUUGGAAACAAAAGCGUGAGUCUGACAGAAGGUCAGGGGCUUGGCUGGGGGGUGGGGAAUGG